UACGUAAGAGGCGAGCGUUGUCCGGAAUUACUGGGCGUAAAGAGCGCGUAGGCGGCGCGGUACGACCGCUGUGAAAGCCCCCAGCUCAACUGGGGAGGGUCAGCGGUAACGGCCGUGCUAUGAGUGCAGGAGAGGGAAGUGGAACUCCGGGAGUAGCGGUGAAAUGCGUAGAGACCCGGAGGAACGCCAGUGGCGAAGGCGGCUUCCUGGUCUGCGACUGACGCUGUGGCGCGAAAGCUAGGGGAGCAAACGGG
rnacentral:rRNA from 1 species